rnacentral:rRNA from 1 species
UACGGAGGGGGCAAGCGUUGUUCGGAGUUACUGGGCGUAAAGGGCGCGUAGGCGGUGCAGCAAGUCAGGCGUGAAAGCCCCGGGCUUAACCUGGGAAUUGCGCUUGAUACUGCUGCGCUAGAGAUCGGGAGAGGAUGGCGGAAUUCCCAGUGUAGAGGUGAAAUUCGUAGAUAUUGGGAAGAACACCGGUGGCGAAGGCGGCCAUCUGGACCGUAUCUGACGCUGAGGCGCGAAAGCGUGGGGAGCAAACAGGAUUAGAUACCCUGGUAGUCCACGCCGUAAACGAUGAGUGCUAGACGCUGGGGGCUUGGCUCUCGGUGUCGUCGCUAACGCAUUAAGCACUCCGCCUGGGGAGUACGGCCGCAAGGUUA